rnacentral:ncRNA from 1 species
UUUUAUCGAGAGCGAUGGAGGGACUGGCCCUAUGAAAUCCGGCAACCAUUCGAUGGUGCUAAUUCCUGCGGUGUAGACCGAGAGAUAA